GUCCUCUUGUUUAUAUAUGAGGUCUGACCUGCCCGGUGAAAAUUUAUUUUAACGGCCGCGGUAUUUUGACCGUGCAAAGGUAGCAUAAUCAUUAGUCUUUUAAUAGGAGGCUGGUAUGAAGGGUUUGACGAAGUGUUAACUGUCUCAUUUAAUUUGAAAUUAAAAUUUAACUUUUCAGUUAAAAGGCUGAAAUUAUAUUGGAAGACGAGAAGACCCUAUAGAGCUUUAUAAUUAAAAUGUUCAAUUAAUUUUUGAUUAAUUAUUGUUUUUUGUAUUUUUAAUUAUUUUGUUGGGGUGACAAAAAUAUAUAAGUAACUUUUUUAUUUAAAAAACAUUGAUUUAUGAAUAUUAGAUCCAAUCUUAUUGAUUGUUAGAUUAAGUUACC
rnacentral:rRNA from 1 species